rnacentral:rRNA from 1 species
AAGGUUUUCGGAUCGUAAAGCUACUGUUGGUAGAGAAGAACGUUGGUGAGAGUGGAAAGCUCAUCAAGUGACGGUAACUACCCAGAAAGGGACGGCUAACUACGUGCCAGCAGCCGCGGUAAUA